CCCUCAGUCCAGAUGUUUCACAGCUUAAAGUGUGAUGCUUUAAACCCUCAGUCCAGAUGUUUCACAGCUUAAAGUGUGAUGGUUUAAACCCUCAGUCCAGAUGUUUCACAGCUUAAAGUGUGAUGGUUUAAACCCUCAGUCCAGAUGUUUCACAGGUUGAAGUGUGACGGUGUAAACCCUCAAUCCAGAUGUUUCACAGCUUAAAGUGUGACGGUGUAAACCCUCAGUCCAGAUGUUUCACAGUUUAAAGUGUGAUAGUUUAAACCCUUUUUGUGUUGAUCGCCCUCCUGCAGCUCUCUCUCCACUCUGCCAGCAGCAGGAAGUGGGGUCAGAUCCACCAGUGGAUGGCCGAGACAGAGAGAGCUCGAACUGCUGCUGCUCGUCCUAGCAGUCGCCACCACCGGGUCUGUAACUCGCCCAAAUACACAAACACAAAAACACAUGCACACACUUCCUGCAUUGUGUCUUCUGCAGUGACUCUGUAUUCUGACUCCAUGUUUCCAUGACAACAGGGUCUGGAUGAUGAUGUCAUGUCAGUCCGCAGUUACAGGUCGACCUCUUCAGGGAUACGAGACCUCGGCUCCACCAAGAGUCGGUCCAGCACCCGUAGAAAAGACACCUUGGUGUGUGUGUGCAUGUGUGUGUUAAUGCGUGUAGCCGACUCAGUAUAAUACCUGUCCUGUUUUUAUUUUAAACUUCUGUUAACGACUAAAAUUAAUUAUAUUUAAAUGAUUAAAAUAAUUAUAACUAAAAGGACAAAGUCAGAAAGUGGGAUCAUUACCUGAUGAAACAGAAUCAGGUGAGUCUUCAGGGGAUUCCUUUAAAACUAAAGUUUGUUUCACUGAUUGCUGUGUUGGAUGCUCAACCUGUUGAUCGACUUAUCCGGUGUUAGUGGCAUUCACACCUGACAGGUGUUUGAUGUUCUGAUUCUGCUGACACAUGUCCUUUCCUCAGUCUGAUGGACUCUCCUCUAGCUCUGCCCUGAAGACCUCACGCUCCACCAGCUCAGUUUUCGGCGAUCUUCACGGACACAAAAAGUCUUCAUCAUCUUC